rnacentral:rRNA from 1 species
UACGGGGGGGGCAAGCGUUGUUCGGAAUUACUGGGCGUAAAGGGUUCGUAGGUGGCUCGCUAAGUCAGACGUGAAAUCCCUCAGCUUAACUGGGGAACUGCGUCUGAGACUGGCAAGCUUGAGUGCAGGAGAGGAACGCGGAAUUCCAGGUGUAGCGGUGAAAUGCGUAGAUAUCUGGAGGAACACCGGUGGCGAAGGCGGCGUUCUGGGCAGUAACUGACGCUGAGGAGCGAAAGCGUGGGGAGCGAACAGG